AAUUUUAAUUUUUCAAUUGAAUUUAAUUCUCUGUUUUCAGACACAACCUUUUAUACGUAUAUGGAAGAGAUUUUGUAAGUAUGAAAAAUGGAGUGAUAAAUUAUCCGCUGUAUUCAAAGGACCAGGUUGGACACCAGGGUCUCCCUGGACCGGAAACAUAGAAGAUGUACCACACCCUGCUCCUCAUUAUAAAUUGUAUAAUCCAGAAAUGUCAAACUUCAUGAAACUAUACUCUAUGGCACAUUUUUUUAUUUUGCUCCUAGCCUACCAACAACUUGCUUGGAACAUGACAAUCAUACCAAAGACGAUUAUUAAUCCAAUUGCAUGCUUUAUAUGCUAUACGAGUAUAUCAUUGGGAUUUGUGCUUGAUAAAAGGCAAGUAUUCUUUAUUAUUAAUUUUGUUUUGUUCAAAACAUGCUAACAUUUUAAUAUGCUUUAUUUCGUAAUGCAUAUA